AAACACAGUGAUCUCUCUUACAACUACCUCAAUGGAUCAAUCCCCCCAAGCCUUUCUCGUGCACCCCUGCGCAUUCUGAGUGUACUGGGAAACCGACUCAGUGGUUCCAUUCCUCCAGAGAUUGGUAACAUUAGAACGCUCAGGGAGCUAAAUUGAAGGAGUAUCUAUUGGAAAUUUGGUCACUAGAGUAUUUAUAAUUUUGUGGCAUCAAGGUAUUUAUUUUUUAAUUAUGUUAUUAUUUUAAUUAAUAUGUGAAUGUGUGUACAAAGUAAGAUGUGUUUAGUGAUAUAUUUAUAUAUGUGUAUAAAAUUGUAGCAUGUUUUAGUAUUUAAAUUUGAUUAAUAAUAUGUAUAUUGUGAA